rnacentral:rRNA from 1 species
GACGAACGCUGGCGGCGUGCUUAACACAUGCAAGUCGAACGAAGUGGCGAACGGGUGAGUAAUACGUGGGUAACCUGCCCUCCUUUUUGGGAUAAGCCUUGGAAACGGGGUCUAAUACCGAAUAAAGGGGGAUGGGCUCGCGGCCUAUCAGCUUGUUGGUGGGGUGAUGGCCUACCAAGGGGGUGAGGGGUAGCCGGGCUGAGAGGGUGACCGGCCACGAUGGGACUGAGAUACGGCCCAGACUCGUACGAGAGGCAGCAUUGGGGGAAAUUGCACAAUUGGCGAAAGCCUGAUGCAGCGACGCCGCGUGGGGGAUGAAGGCUUUCGGGUUGUAAACCUCUUUCGCAAUCGAUCGGGUAGGUGGAGAAGAAGCGCCGGCUAACUACGUGCCAGCAGCCGCGGUAAUAC